rnacentral:rRNA from 1 species
UACAGAGGUCUCAAGCGUUGUUCGGGAUUCAUUGGGCGUAAAGAGCGUGUAGGCCGGCUAGAUAGGUCCGUUGUGAAAACUCGAGGCUCAACCUCGAGACGUCGAUGGAAACCAUCUGGCUAGAGUCCGGAAGAGGAGAGUGGAAUUCCUGGUGUAGCGGUGAAAUGCGCAGAUAUCAGGAAGAACACCCGUGGCGAAGGCGGCUCUCGUGGUACGUGACUGACGCUGAGACGCGAAAGCGUGGGGAGCAAACAGG